GACGAACGCUGGCGGCGUGCUUAACACAUGCAAGUCGAACGGAAAGGUCAUGCUUUUGUGGGGUGCUCGAGUGGCGAACGGGUGUGUAACACGUGAGUAUCCCGCCCUUGACUUUGGGAUAACUUUAGGAAACUGGGGCUAAUACCGGAUAGGAGCUCCUGCUGCAUGGUGGGCGUUGGAAAGUUUCGGCGGUUGGGGAUGGACUCGCGGCUUAUCAGCUUGUUGGUGGGGUAGUGGCUUACCAAGGCUUUGACGGGUAGCCGGCCUGAGAGGGUGACCGGCCACAUUGGGACUGAGAUACGGCCCAGACUCCUACGGGAGGCAGCAGUGGGGAAUAUUGCACAAUGGGCGGAAGCCUGAUGCAGCAACGCCGCGUGCGGGAUGACGGCCUUCGGGUUGUAAACCGCUUUCGCCUGUGACGAAGCGUGAGUGACGGUAAUGGGUAAAGAAGCACCGGCUAACUACGUG
rnacentral:rRNA from 1 species